UACGUAGGGUGCGAGCGUUGUCCGGAAUUAUUGGGCGUAAAGGGCUCGUAGGCGGUUUGUCGCGUCGGGAGUGAAAACCCAGGGCUUAACCCUGGGCUGGCUUUCGAUACGGGCGGACUGGAGGCCAGUAGGGGGAUGCGGAAUUCCGGGUGUAGUGGUGGAAUGCGUAGAGAUCCGGAGGAACACCAGCGGCGAAGGCGGCAUCCUGGACUGGUCCUGACACUCAGGAGCGAAAGCGUGGGGAGCGAUCCGG
rnacentral:rRNA from 1 species